CUAAACACAAUAGACUUAAUUGAAUAACAUUCUCCUAGUAAUAGACUUGUAGUGCUUUCGGAAGGGCAUGUAAUAUGUAAAAAAGAAGGCUUUUCAUUUCUGUUUCCUCGUUCAUAGAAUCUUAUUAUCUAUAAUAUGCAGUGUGUGGGGAUGAUUGCCGACAUAAACGUCGGCGGAAAAAAAAAACCCGGAUAGGUAGGGUGGAUAUAACAUAAU